rnacentral:lncRNA from 1 species
UCCUUUACCUUGCUUCAAGAGUUCUAGUCUCUAGAACUCGAUUAGCCCUGUAUCAGUCAGAUUUCUCCAAGAAUCUGACUCGAUCCUUUCAAAACCACCUCUAGACUUUUGAUUUCCCUUCUUUAGGAUCCUCACAACUCUUGUUUGGAUUAGAUAAGGCUUUGUCUUAAAUCCUACAGUCUUGUCUUAAAACUAAGAUGGGUUGCAAGAAAGAAGGGAGAGCUACAGAGAAGAACAUGAAAACUCAAUCUGAAUGCCUUGGACACCCAGCACCCAGGCCUUUUUAUAGCUACCAGAGGGAUGCCAAA